rnacentral:rRNA from 1 species
GUUGAACGCUGGCGGCAUGCUUUACACAUGCAAGUCGAACGGUAACAGGUCUUCGGAUGCUGACGAGUGGCGAACGGGUGAGUAAUACAUCGGAACGUGCCCGAUCGUGGGGGAUAACGGAGCGAAAGCUUUGCUAAUACCGCAUACGAUCUACGGAUGAAAGCAGGGGACCGCAAGGCCUUGCGCGGACGGAGCGGCCGAUGGCAGAUUAGGUAGUUGGUGGGAUAAAAGCUUAACAAGCCGACGAUCUGUAGCUGGUCUGAGAGGACGACCAGCCACACUGGGACUGAGACACGGCCCAGACUCCUACGGGAGGCAGCAGUGGGGAAUUUUGGACAAUGGGCGCAAGCCUGAACCAGCCAUGCCGCGUGCAGGAUGAAGGCCUUCGGGUUGUAAACUGCUUUUGUACGGAACGAAAGGACUGCCCUAAUACGGUGGUCCCAUGACGGUACCGUAAGAAUAAGCACCGGCUAACUACGUGCCAGCCGCCGCCGUAAAAC